CUGCUGGGGAGAAAGAGCUUGGAGCGGCAGGGCUUAACCCGGUACAGCUCAGAGGUGGGUUUCUGAAGGACUCGGGGAGACAGCUGCAACAAGGCCUAGAAAUUGCUUGAAAAAUAUUUCUCAACUGAAUGAAUGAAUGAAUUGUAAAAUGGAGAGAACGUCAGGAUUCUAUGUCAUUUGUUUUUAAUUUUCCUAAUAUUGUAUGCAUGCUAAACAUCCUCAAAAUUUACCAAGUCUGUGAAGUUAUUGUUCCAGCUGAUUUCAUUUAUGGCUCAGGUAAUGCCAAGCUUGGAUAA
rnacentral:lncRNA from 1 species